UCAGGUCUUCCCCCAAACCCCUUUUACCUGUGGGUUUCCCCUUUUACUCUUUUGGUGUCUUGAUCUCCCUGUGAGCCCUGGUGAAUUUUAGUCGGCACGUCUUUUACAGAGGGUGGGGAACCAUGGAGCAGCUCUGCCACUUCAGCUCCAGGCAGGGGGGCUGCCCAGGGCAGAGUGUCCCAGGCAAAAGAGGCUAUUCUGGGCAGAGGGAGCCCCUCCACGCAGCUUCAGGAUCCCAGUAGAAACAGGAGGGCUCAUCCCAACUGGGCCAUAUUGGGUAAAGAAAUGUUGUGUCUUUGUGUCUGAUCAUGUAUGAUUGUUUUCACAGAGAUGAAAAAAGACAGAAUUUAUAGACACGUUGCAAUGUCACGUCUCACAGGCAGCGUCUUGCCGACAAUGACUACCAUUGGUUUUAGCUCUCAAGUUAACAACAUAAUGGGCUAAAGCAUAAAUAUAUGUGUGAUAUAUAAAACGCAGUGCUUUGUUACUAAUUGUCAACACUAUGACAGCAAGACAACAAGAUCUAAGGGUGUCCAAUUUCACAAGUCAGGAAAAUGUUUUAAUUUAAAAAGAAAUAGGGAAGGAGAGUUAAGUAGGACAGUUAUGCUAGCUUGACUUUUACAAACUUAGCAUGUAGAUGUGCUGCAGAAUUUGGCAACCUACACACCAACACUCUGAGAGAUCAUCAGCAGAGCAGGUGUUUAAUUAGCUAAUCAACCACAGCUGUGUUCAGAUGAUCACUUUCAACAUUUUUU